GGGUGGAGACCCGGGACAUCAGCCGUAAAAGGGUGAAGAGGUGCAACGCCGUCGUUGAGUGGAGCUGACAGUUCUAAUGGGGAGCAGAAAGUGGCGGUCCGGGCCUAAGAGCGACACGAGCCUCCUGACAGCUCAGAGAGACGGCGCGUCAAGAAGACCGUACUUUGUACCAUUUGUGCCCAAAAAAAACAAAACAAAUAAAGACACGUGUCGAGUCA